UACGUAGGGGGCGAGCGUUACCCGGAAUCACUGGGCGUAAAGGGUGCGUAGGCGGCCGAGUGUGUCUGGCGUUAAACUCCACGGCUCAACUGUGGGUAUGCGCUGGAAACUGCUUGGCUUGAGUGCAGCAGAGGCAGACGGAACUGCUGGUGUAGAGGUGAAAUUCGUAGAUAUCAGCAGGAACGCCGGUGGAGAAGUCGGUCUGCUGGGCUGUAACUGACGCUGAGGCACGAAAGCUAGGGGAGCAAACCGG
rnacentral:rRNA from 1 species